GAUGAACGCUGGCGGCGUGCUUAACACAUGCAAGUCGAACGGUGAACGAGGGAGCUUGCUCCCUCCGGAUCAGUGGCGAACGGGUGAGUAACACGUGAGCAAUCUGCCCUGGACUCUGGGAUAAGCGUUGGAAACGACGUCUAAUACCGGAUACGAGGCGUGGGGGCAUCCCCAACGCCUGGAAAGAACUUCGGUCCAGGCUGAGCUCGCGGCCUAUCAGCUAGUUGGUGAGGUAACGGCUCACCAAGGCGACGACGGGUAGCCGGCCUGAGAGGGUGACCUGCCACACUGGGACUGAGACACGGCCCAGACUCCUACGGGAGGCAGCAGUGGGGAAUAUUGCACAAUGGGCGCAAGCCUGAUGCAGCAACGCCGCGUGAGGGACGACGGCCUUCGGGUUGUAAACCUCUUUUAGCAGGGAAGAAGCGAAAGUGACGGUACCUGCAGAAAAAGCACCGGCUAACUACGUGCCAGCAGCCGCAGUAAGAC
rnacentral:rRNA from 1 species